AGAAAUUGAAGCCCAAAGGCCACCAAUUGUAGGAGUUGCAUGUUGUGAGAUACAGAUACAAUGCAUUCCCUUGAGGGACAGAGUACAAAACUGCUGGGUUUGCUCUGAGUGCAUCAGUCCAGAGA